rnacentral:miRNA from 1 species
UGGCGCUUGGUUAUUCUACUGA